rnacentral:rRNA from 1 species
GACGAACGCUGGCGGCGUGCUUAACACAUGCAAGUCGAACGCUGAAGACCUGGCUUUUGUUGGGUUGGAUGAGUGGCGAACGGGUGAGUAACACGUGAGUAACCUGCCCUCUUCUUUGGGAUAACGCCCGGAAACGGGUGCUAAUACUGGAUAUUCACUGAUCUUCGCAUGGGGGUUGGUGGAAAGGUUUGUUCUGGUGGGGGAUGGGCUCGCGGCCUAUCAGCUUGUUGGUGGGGUGAUGGCCUACCAAGGCUUUGACGGGUAGCCGGCCUGAGAGGGUGACCGGUCACAUUGGGACUGAGAUACGGCCCAGACUCCUACGGGAGGCAGCAGUGGGGAAUAGUGCACAAUGGGCGAAAGCCUGAUGCAGCGACGCCGCGUGAGGGAGGGAGGCCUUCGGGUUGUAAACCUCUUUCGCUCAUGGUCAAGCCGCAACUGUGGGUUGUGGUGAGGGUAGUGGGUAAAGAAGCGCCGGCUAACUACGUG